AAAGUAAAAAAAAAUACAUUAUUUCUUCUUUAGGUUCCCCUCCAAACUUCAAUGCUUUCCAUAAUCCAGUAUCCGGUCAUAAAUCCGUUGUCACCUUUGGUGCCACAGAAGAUCCUUCUUCCAUCGAUAAUGAUGAUUUUCCCUUACCAAAAGCUAAACAAUUUAAAUCACAACCAGAGCGUAAGACACAACAACAGCAACAGCAAAAGCAUUCACAUCAGCAACGAUACCGUAGAAACCGACGUUGAAAACAGCGAAAUAUUUUAUUUUUACAUACAUAUAUAUGUUACUGGCCAAACCCGAUUUUAGGACAAAAUAGUUUUUCCAAGGCUAAACUAGUUAGAUCGGGUUUGACCGGUAACAUACAUAUAUACCGUUAAUGUUAAUGUUUGUGUUUAAAAUAAAGAUUUGUUUAAGUAAUGUGAAUUUUAAAAUAUAUGAAUUUCUAAAUAUGUAAAUGGAGUAAAAUUAGGGUUGAAAAAUGAUAAACUGUGGAUUUAAGCAUAUAAUUUUAACAAAAAAUAUUUGGCACUGUUGAUGAAGAGCAGAAAUGACCCAGUAGGUAGUACCAUGAAAACAUUAACCAAUACUAUUGAACAAAAAUAUGCAUCGCAAUAUAAGCGAGCGGGUAAUGCGUAGCUGUGAAACCACGAGCAAAAAAUUUAAGUAAGUCUUUUCUUCAAGUUAUUUCAACAGCCACUGUAAUCCACAGUGGGCCAGAAGAAAGAGAAAGGGCUCAAAAUUGGUUAUGAUUAUUUAAACGUGAAAAAACUAAUUAUCUAAAGUAACAAAAUCCAUGGUACAUCGAAAAGUACCAGGUGUCCAAAAAUUAUGAAAAAUCCGAAAAGGCACGUAUUUUGGAUUUUCUACUUGAUAUUUUCUGUAGAAAGUUUGUGGAAACAUAAUUUAAAAAAAUAGGGUUGCCAGAUAUAUGAAUAUUAUAAUUAUUCAAAAGCACCUCAGCAUAAAAAAAAUAUUUUGGAGUAGGGUUGCCACCUAUCUAAAAAGUUACAAUCACUUUUAUUAAAAAAAGGUAUGCCUAUUUAAUAUCACAAGCACCAGGUUGACCGAGCUUUGCCCGGAAUGUAUACAUUUUUUAAAGUUUUCAAGGUUUCAGUAUCAAGUAAUGGCAAACCGCAUCGAAAAUAUUAUUAAAGUUCUAAAAAAUACCUCUUAUUUGAUAUUCAUAUUAAGUUAUUUUAGAGGAAUUUUGCAGAAUCGAAAAUGAGUGGCAACGUUACACUAAUAUCUUAAGCGACAACACUUACUACAUAUGCAAAGCAUUGUUUAAUAGCUUUCUUUUACCAUCCGUAAAGAGUAAUAUUGUGUGUCAAUUUCC